AGUAACGCGUAUGCAACCUACCUAUUGCAGGAAGAUAGCCCGAGGAAACUCGGAUUAAUAUUCCAUAAUAUCAUUUUUACACAUGUAUUAAUGAUUAAAGCUACGGCGGCAAUAGAUGGGCAUGCGUACCAUUAGCUAGUUGGUGAGGUAACGGCUCACCAAUGUUACGAUGGUUAGGGGGUCUUAAAGGAUGAUCCCCCACACUGGUACUGAGACACGGACCAGACUCCUACGGGAGGCAGCAGUGAGGAAUAUUGGGCAAUGGACGCAAGUCUGACCCAGCCAUGCCGCGUGCAGGAUGACUGCUCUAGUAGUUGUAAACUGCUUUUCUAUUUCAUGAACCCCUCUGACGUGUCAGGGGCUGACAGUAGAAUAGGAAUAAGCAUCGGCUAACUCCGUGCCAGCAGCCGCGGUAAUACGGAGGAUGCAAGCGUUAUCCGGAUUUACUAGGUUUAAAGGGUGCGUAGGCGGGGUAUCAAGUCAGUUGGUGAAAUCCUGCAGCUCAACUGUAGAACUGCCAUUGAAACUGAUAUUCUUGAGUAUAGUUGAGGUAAGGCGGAAUGUGUU
rnacentral:rRNA from 1 species